GCGCAAAGUUAAGUCGUGUAGAGGAUUCUCGAACUCCUGCGAGGCCUUUCUAAAUGUGGACGGCGAGAACUCAGUGCUGGGGCCUGGGGGUGUCAGCGUGAUUGAGGAAAUGCUGGAAGAGCACCAGCCUGCACGCUGCAGAGGCCUCUUUAGAAACUUCACAUAACAGCAGAAGAUGCGGACGGGAACAGCAAUAGGAGGACGCGCGGAGGCGGGGGUUGGAGAGAGCAAGGCCGGGUACACGCAGUGGCUGUAAACGGUGAAAAGGAGUGCUGUUUCCUUCAGUCACCAGAGUUAAUCCCAGGAUGCCUUCCAUAUAUGCCCGACAACAUAAUGUAUCACAAGAGCACGUGUCCUUUGAAAAUAUCUGCAG
rnacentral:lncRNA from 1 species